UGGUUCUGGCAUCGAUGAAGAACGCAGCGAAAUGCGAUAAGUAAUGUGAAUUGCAGAAUUCAGUGAAUCAUCGAAUCUUUGAACGCACAUUGCGCCUAACAGUACUCUGUUAGGCAUGCCUGUUCGAGCGUCAUUUCAACCCCCAAGCCCUAGCUGCUUGACGUUGGGAGCCUGCAGCUGCUGCAGCUCCUCAAAUUUAGUGGCGGAGCCAGGUCAAGCUCUGAGCGCAGUAGUUACAUCCUCGCUCCCGAUGCUGCCCUGUAUCCCGCCGUAAAACCCCCUAAAUUCAUUCUGGUUGACCUCGGAUCAGGUAGGAAUACCCGCUGA
rnacentral:misc_RNA from 1 species